ensembl:lncRNA novel transcript, antisense to TSHR
AGGUCUCAGCUGGGCACUCCUGAGCUCUGUGCUGCAACCUUGGGGCAUUGGGCUCUGUCUUUCGGCCCCUCGGGGUCAGACCCCUGCUGUGUUGGGGGAUCCGAAGUGCUCCCAAGCUGCCUGGAAAGCAUUCAGGCGGGGUCGCUAGCAAGAACUCAGGCUGGGCAGCGGAGGCGGCACAGUGCACACACUCCUGCAGGAACAACCAGACAGGGGCUUUGGGAGGGGCUGCGUGCAGGGGGUCCCGCAGAACAUAUGCGCCCCAGUCCCGCAGGAAGGACCGCCCUGCUCUCUCUUGGCUCACUGGUGGGGACAGCACUUCCUGGAAUAACGUUGCUUUGGAUUUAACAACAGUUGGGCAAAGGAGGUCGGUAUACAGAUACAGGACAAGAAGAGUGGUGUCAAAGGGAGGCUAAAUCAUUGGUUCUGGCUUCAUCUAAGGAAUUCUUAUGAGAAAUCGAGGGAGAGACUGUCCUGGGAAGUCUGAUGAAACAUGCAUGAGUCUUCGUUGAAACCGUGGGAGGAAGAAGAGUUUUACCAAUCACCAGUGCUGAAGAAAUCUCUCCUUUCUGGGCAGGAUGAGGGAAUCACUAAAUGACGAGGAGUCUGGCACUGUUGCCCAGGCUGAAGUGCAGUGGCGUGAUCUCUGCUUACUGCAACCUCUGCUCCCGGGUUCAAGCAAUUCUCCUGCCUCAGCCUCCUGAGUAGCUGGGAUUACAGGCGCCUGCCACCAGAUAUUAAACAGAAUUCUUAAUGAACAAAUCGGCCUUGAAAAGGGAACAUGGUGAAGCAAGACAAAAGAAUUACAAACUUUGACUGAAACUUUCUCCUACCAGGAAUACAGGGACCGCUCACCAGGUUGUGAUGAGAAGGAUCAUCUGAAAUGCUCCAUUGCUCUCAGAAGUUGAGGUAACUUCAUUGGGCCCAAACUGAUAAACUAGGAAUGGCUCAGAAAAUAGCCCCUUAGAAGAACUGUAUGAAGCUUGGAUCCAUUUUUCUGAGAAAAAAGAAAAAUCCCUCCAAUGAUUUGGUGAGGAGUUGAAGACAAAUAUCUUUAUUAUUUAUAAGUAUUCUGGCCAAGACAAUGAGUGUUGGAGUGGGAGGAUGAGGGAAUUUUAUGAUGAACGACAGCACAGCAAGAUGGACAGUAAGGCUCUGUCAUUGCCAUACCAGAUGUACAGAAGUGUUGAUGGUUGUUUCUAGUUUGGGGCUAUUAUGAAGAAAGCUGCUAUGAAGAACAUCCAUGUACAAAUCAUUUUAUGGACACACAUACUCAUUGCUCUUGGGUAAAUAUCUAGGAAUAUGAUUUAUGGAUCAUAGGUAAGUGUAUACUUAACUAUCACAAAAACUUCCAGUUUCCAAAGUGAUUGUAACAUGUUCACUCAUACCAGUGAUCUAUAGGAGUUCCAGUCAACUCUACAUCCUCACCAACACCUGGUGUUAUCAGUGUUUUAACUUGUAGUCACACAAGUAGGUAUGUUUCCGUCAGCAUUCUUGAUUGGUAUUUGUAAUUUGCUAAAGGAUUUGGAGAAAUGCACAGCUAAGUUAAAAAUGUCUAUUUGUGUACACAAGUAUAAUGCUUAAUUUUAUGUGUUAGCUUGAUUGGGUCAUGGGAUAUGAAGAUAUUUGCUUAAACAUUAUUUCGUGUUGUGUCUGUGAGGAUGUUUCUGGAUGAGAUUGACAUUUGAAUUGGUAAACUCAAUAAAGCAGCUUGCCCUUCCCAAUGUGAAUGGGCCUCAUCCAAUCAAUUGAAGGCUCAGUAAGAAAAAUUAUUUAUCUCUGCUUGUCUUUAAGCUGGGAUAUCAAUUUUCUUUGCUUUCAGACUUGGACUAAAUUCUACACCACAGGCUCUCCUGGUUCUCAGGCCAUUGGAUUCAAACCAGAAUUUAUACCAUCAGCUCUCUUGGUUCUCAGGACUUUCAACUUUGACUGAUACUAUACCUUUGGCUCUCCUGGGUCUUCAGUUUUCCAACUGCUUCUCUUGAGCCUCUUAGCCUCCAUAAUCAUGUGAACCAAUUCUUUACAGUACAGUACAAAUCUCUCUCCCUCUCCCUCUCCCCUCCCUCAGCCCCCUAAAUUUGUUAGAACUGAUGAAUAAAAUUCAGUAAAGUAGGUUACAAAAUCAACAUACAAAAUUUAAUAGUGUUUCUAUAUGGUAACAAUGAACUAUCUGAAAAAAAUUAAGAAAACAAUUCCAUUUGCAAUAGCUAUAAAAAAUAAGAUACUCUGGAGUAAAUUUAACCAAGGAGGAGAAGAACCUAUACACUGAAAACUAUAAAACAUUGAUAAAAGAAAUUGAAGACACAAAGAAAUGGAAAGAUAUUCUGUGUUCAUGAAUUGGAAGAAUUAAUAUUGUUAAAAUGUCUAUACUACCCAAAGUGAUCUCCAGAUUCAGUGCAAUCCUAUCAAAAUUCCAAUGUCAUUUUUCACAGAAAUAGAACAACCUUAAAAUUUGUAUGGAGCCACAAUAGACCCUGAAUAACCAAAGCAAUCUCGAGCAAAAAUAACAAAGGUUAAGGCGUUAAACUACCUGAUUGCAAAAUACAUCACAAAGUUAUAGUAACCAAAACUGCAGGGUACUGCCAUAAAAACAGACACAUCAAUGAAUCGAAUAGGGUAGAGAGUCCCCAGAUAAACGCACAUAUCUGUGGUCAAUUGAUUUUCAACAAAGGUGCCAAGAACACACAAUGAGGAAAGAACAGUCUCUUCAAUAAAUGGUGUUAGAAAAAGUGGCUAUCCACAUGCAGAAAAAUAAAAUUGGAACUUUAUCUCUCCCUUGAUAGUAGAAUCAACUCAAGAUGGGUGAGACUCUUAAAUGUAAGAUCUGAAACUGUAAAACUCAUAAGAGAAGACUAGGAGAAAAGCUCCUUGACAUUGGUCUGGGCAAUUAUUUCAUGGGUAUGUCCCCCAAAGCAGAGGCAACAAAAGCAAAAUUAGACAAUUGGGAUUGCAUCAAACUAAAAAAUCUUUUGCAUGGCAAAGGAAGCCAUCAACAGAGUGAAAAGAAAACCUGCAGAUUGGGAGAAAAUAUUUGCAAAUAUAUUGUCAAAGGGCCUCAUUUUGAUAAGGGACUCAUAUCAAAAAUAUAUAAGGAACUCAAAUGACUCAAUAAAACAUAUACUCGUAUUAAAAAUGGGCAAAUGACAUGGAUAGACACUUCUCAGAAGAAGACAUAUAAAUGGCCAACAGAUAUAGUUAAAAAUGCUCAACAUCACUACUCAACAGGGAAAUGCAAAUUAAACCACAAUGAGACAUCACCCUGCACCUGUAAGUAUGGCUGUCAUCAAAAAGGUGAAUGCUAGCUAGUGUUGGCAAGGAUGUAGAGAAAAGGGAACCAUCACACACUGUGUUGUGGAAAUGUGAAUUAGUACAACUAUUUUGGAAAAAGUAUGAAGGUUAUUUAAAAAACUAAAAGUAGAAAUACCAUAUGAUCCAGCUAUGCCACCCAAAGGAAUAAAAAUCAGUAAGCUGAAGAAACGUCUGCACUCCACAUUCACUGCAGCAGUAUUCACAGUUACCAAGACAAGGUAAAUUUAAAGCUUUCUGGAAAAGAGUCAUCAUUCUAGAUACCAUUAAGAACAUUUGUAAUCCAUGGGAGAAGGUCAAAAUUUCAACAUUAACAGGAGUUUGGAGGAAGUUAAUUCCAACUUCUAUGGAUAAUUUUGAGGGGUUAAAAACUUCAGUGGAGGAAGUAACUACGGAUGUGGUGAAAAUAGCAAGAGAACUAGAGUUAGAAGUAGAGCCUGAAAUGUGACUGAAUUGCUGCAAUCUCAUCAUGAAACUUUAUUCGAUAAGGAGUUGCUUCUUAUGAAUGAGCAAAGAAAGUGGUUUCUUGAAAUGGAAUCUAGUCCAGGUGAAGAUGCUGUGCGUAUUGUUUAAAUGACAACAAAGAAAUUUAGAAUAUUACAUAAACUUAGUUGAUAAAGCAGAAGCAGGGUAUGAGAAGAUUGACUCCAAUUUUGAAAGAAAUUCCACUGCAUGUAAAAUGCUAUCAAACAGCAUUGCAUGCUACAGAGAAAUCUUAGCACUGGUAGACUACACCAUGUAGUGUAAACAUAAUUUUAUAUGCACCAGAAAACAAAAUAAAAUUGUGCGACUUACUUUAUUGUGAUGGUUUGGAAAGGACCCAUAAAAUCUCCCAAAUCUUUCAAAAUUGAAAAAAGGGUGGAUUUUAAGUGUUCUCAUCACAAAGAAAUACGUAAGGUGGUGUACAUGUUAAUUAGCCUGAUUUGAUCAUCCCACAAUGUAUGCAUAUAUCAAAAUAUCCUACUGUACCCCAUAAAUAGAUAUAAUUAUUUGUCAAUUAAAAAUAGUUUUUAACAGAAAAAGUGCAUUACUUUACUAUUAUUAUCUUUAUAGGAUUGUACCUACCACAUGGAGUUGCUAUGAAGAUGUAAUAAAUUAUUAUUUGAAGCACUUAUAACAAUGUUAGGAACAUAGUGAACACUAACUAGGUGUUUUAAACAAAAACAUAAAUCAGUUUGCCAAUUUAUUGAUGAUGAGAAAUACAACUGUCACAUGGGUCUGAAUAUUCGUGAUGGUAUGAGCAAUUUUUCUUCUCAGCAGACUAUUUUAGGGAACCAUGAAAUAUUCAGAAGUUUGCCUGAAAUCAUGAAAUCAAUCAAAACAGGAGAUGAAUCCAUUUUAAAAAAUGUUCUCAGGCUAAGAGAGCAUAGUAUUGUUGUUUCAUACAAAAAAUGACCUUGCCUGAAGGUCUGAACACUGAUUUAACUUUCCUUUCUCCUGGACAUAGACCGGUUGGGAAUUUCCAGAGUUCUCAUCUCUGACUCCACUUUUCCUUUGGCUUUAUUGCUGAUCAAUCUCCUGCCUGAUGGAUGUUUUCUUCGUAUUGUAGGGUGUUAUUCUGUUUCCCUUAAGAGAUUUUAUAUGUCUUUAUUAUGAUCCAUUGUAUGUUACUUUAAAAAUUUACUUGAUUUCAUUUGUUUCUAAGUUCUUAGGGAGCAUUAUAGUGCUCCUUCAAUAUUACUGGGAACAUUUUAUUAUAAACUGUGUUAGUCUGUUUUUGUACUGCUAUAAAUAAAUACCUGAGACUGGGUAAUUGACUCACAGUUCUGCAUGGCUUGGGAGGCCUCAGGAAACACAAUCAUGGCAGAAGGUAGCAGAAGGUGAAGGGCAAACAAGCACCUUCUUCAUGGCGGCAGGAGAGAGAGAGCAAAGGGUGAACUGCCGAAUACUUUAAAAACCAACAGCUCUUGUGAGAACUCACUAUACCAAGAAUAGCAUGGGGGAAACCGUCCCUGUGAUCCAAUCACCUCACACCAGAUCUCUCCCUUGACACGUGGGGAUUACAAUUCAAGAUGAGACUUGGGUAGGGACACAGAACCAAACCUAGCCUUGGACUGCCAUUUAAUAUGUGUAGUGCUUUUACUUGGUAUGUAAAUAAAAGAAAAAAACUUAAAUGUAUCUCUUUGCUCUUCCUCAACCCUCACAGAACCAUCUGGGCUUUGAGGAGCACUGUUUAAUACCUAUAUGGUUUUCAAACAUUGUUAUUUUAUGGAUGAAUAAUCUGAAGAAAGGAUGAGUGACUCAAAUUCAUUUAAUAAAGUAAUAAUAGCC